rnacentral:snoRNA from 1 species
ACCCUUUACGGUUCGUAAGUAUGAGGAGGUUUUCACACUGUUAUCUGAGAUGUGCCUCCCUCAAACCUUGUUACGACAUUGGCACUGUACCUGUCUGAUG